rnacentral:ncRNA from 1 species
AAACUGGUUGAUCCUGCCAUUAGUCAUAUGCUUGUCUCAGAGAUUAAGCCAUGCAUGUCUAAGUACAUACCUUAAAACGGUGAANNNNNNNNNNUACACAGUCAAUGGGUGCAUCACUGUGUAAAUAAACUGGUUGAUCCUGCCAGUAGUCAUAUGCUUGUCUCAGAGAUUAAGCCAUGCAUGUCCUAGUACAUAUACUGCAUGUAUAACUGUAGUAAUCCUAGAUCUAAUACACACAAUUAUGCCCUGACCCGCAAGUGAACGGGUGCAUUCAUUAGAACAGAACCAACCGAGGGCAGUUUCGGCUGUCUAUCUUGAAUUCUGUAAUGACCCCGGAUAACUUUAAUGAUUACAGUCGGCCUUGUAUCGGCGAUGGAUAUUUCAAAUGCAUGCCCUAUCAAUUUGUUUCCCAGGUGAUCUGCCUACCAUGAUAAUAACGGAUAACGGGGAAUCAGAGUUCAAAACCGGAGAGGGAGGCUGAGAAAUGGCUACCACAACCAAGGACGGCAGCAGGCGCGAAAAUUCACUGUCAAUAAUAAAUGAUCGAAUAAAUGCAUAAACGACACUUCGAAAAGGGAUCAUGAGCGUAUAUCAACCGGAGU